CCGCGUAUCCAGACUGGCAAUUGUAUAGCCGCUUUCCAUCACCGUUGGUGUCCGCAGAGGCGCUUAUCAGCACUACCAAGUGUGAACAGAAGCUGCGCAUGCGCGUUGCGGAUUUUGGUGGAACCCACAGGUCCCCGUGAGCACGAUUCCAUCUCGGCCCUCACCGCGUGGAGCCUCGUGUUCAUAUCGGACAUCACUCUCGCCUACUCUGCAGCGGGAUCUUGAAGGUCGUGAGGCGGUGGCCGAACAUCUGGUUGAGGAGAUCCCGCUGCGACUGGGCCGACUUGCAGCUGGCGGGCAGUGCCGGCCGUGGCCUCGGGGUGUGAGGGCCCCCCGUGCGACUCCCACCGCAGAGGGAAUCGAGCAGCGGCCUCCUGUGGGGCCCCGGCACCUCGCGCGAGGAGGAGUGGCUCGAGAAGAAGGCCGUGUAGAGGGUGCCGACGCUGGACCUGGAGUCUUCAAGGCGAGACCCAGGUGGUGUCCAUGACGAGGUAUGGUCUGGUUGGGGUGGCCGGGCUUGGGGGCCCUUGCCGCCACCUUGAGGCGCUUGCCGGGUGCCUCCCUACAACCGCCGGUGGGGCCAGCGCUGUCACAGGGCCGCUUGGGGCCUCUCUGGGGCUUAUCAGGUUCUGCUUGGAUACGACCUCCACAUUGCAGUGGACAAGUGCCAACCGCGACGCAUAUUAAGGAGGAUGAUGGUUCUUGCCUUCUGCCUGGACUGGGUGGAGGACUGAAAGCACGAGACACUGCAGACCAUGACGCUGUGGCGUGGCCUCACCCAGGCUACCCGACUAAGACGGUGGCUUCGGAGACGUCACUUGCGAUCGGACUGGUGAUUAUAAUUGUCGGAGAGCAGCGCCAUCACCCGCGGGGUCCCGUCACACUCACGUCCCACGCACGGCCCCGUCUCACGCGUCUCACGCGUCCCACGUACGACUCGUGCCCAAGUCGCUUCCCGUCUCGCACUCGGCACGCGCCCAGACUCGUUCCGCCCCGGGACAGACGGAGGCCGGCAGCAGCGGGAGCCACCUGCGCAGAUGAGGAUCGGUGACGGAGUCACGAACACUGAGACCUGAGUUGGAUUCUCAAUCACGGUCAACACCAGCAGCGGACCGAGGCCACGGGGAAUUCGACUCCAUGAGGCACCGCGCGGCUCCUGGGUAGCAGCAGCAGCAGAGAAGGCGGAUGAAGCGAAACGCUUCCGAGAUCUUCCCGGAGCCUGCACGGAGCCUCCUGGAGCCACGGUGUCCAGGUCCAGGCAGGGCUCCUCUUCCCAACAAAAACACAACGCGUUUCACGUGGCGAAGUAUUUGAGGCAUUUGAGGUUCUGGCAGCUUCUCCGCCCAAGAGAGAACUACCCAGGGCUACAGCAGCAGCAGCAGCAACAUCGUCAUCGUCAUCAUCUCCACGAUCAUCAUCACCACCACCAUCAUCAUCAUAUGCGCGGCCAAGCUUCUGGACAUGAGUGCACGAGGCAGGCACUGAUCAAGAGAUCUCUGAGACUUCCUGGUGCUCGGUUAUUGUGCUUCACGUGGCCUGAGUGUGAAACUUCACCUGGGGGACCUCACCUGGGGGACCUCACCUGGAAGACCCCACCUCACCUGGGGAACCCCACCUGCUUACCCCCCCCCCACCACCACCAAACACUGACCCUGGGAUGGAUAACAUCUGUGAAAUA